CCUACGGUAGGCAGCAGUGGGGAAUAUUGGACAAUGGGGGGAACCCUGAUCCAGCGACGCCGCGUGAGUGAAGAAGUAUUUCGGUAUGUAAAGCUCUAUCAGCAGGGAAGAAAGAAAUGACGGUACCUGACUAAGAAGCCCCGGCUAACUACGUGCCAGCAGCCGCGGUAAUACGUAGGGGGCAAGCGUUAUCCGGAUUUACUGGGUGGAAAGGGAGCGUAGACGGCGAUGCAAGUCUGAAGUGAAAGGCGGGGGCCCAACCCCCGGACUGCUUUGGAAACUGUAUGGCUGGAGUGCAGGAGAGGUAAGUGGAAUUCCUAGGGUAGCGGUGAAAUGCGUAGAUAUUAGGAGGAACACCAGUGGCGAAGGCGGCUUACUGGACUGUAACUGACGUUGAGGCUCGAAAGCGUGGGGAGCAAACAGGAUUAGAUACCCCAGUAGUC
rnacentral:rRNA from 1 species